UUAAGCUAUAAAGAGCGCAGGGUGGAUGCCUUGGCACUAAGAGCCGAUGAAAGACGUGAUAAGCUGCGAAAAGCUUCGGGGAGGAGCAAAUAUCCUUUGAUCCGGAGAUAUCUGAAUGGGGAAACCCGGCUGAGCAAACCUCAGUCACUGCAUGGUGAAUCCAUAGCCAUGCAGAGGGAACCCGGUGAACUGAAACAUCUAAGUAGCCGGAGGAAGAGAAAGAAACAUCGAUUCCCAAAGUAGCGGCGAGCGAAAUGGGAAGAGCCCAAACCAGCGUGCGUGCAUGCUGGGGUUAUGGACUGCAAACGUGAACCGAUUUGUUAGUGGAACUGUCUGGGAAGUCAGGCCAGAGAGGGUGAAAGCCCCGUACACGAAAGCAAUAGGAAGCAGCAGGAUCCAGAGUACCACGAGACACGAGAAACCUUGUGGGAAGUCGGAGGGACCACCCUCCAAGGCUAAAUACUCCUUAGUGACCGAUAGCGCAUAGUACUGUGAAGGAAAGGUGAAAAGGACCCCGGGAGGGGAGUGAAAAAGAACCUGAAACCCUGUGUUUACAAGCUGUGGAAGCACGUUAAGGUGCGACCGCGUACUUUUUGUAGAACGGUCCGGCGAGUUGCCGGUACUGGCAAGGUUAAGAGCUUAAGGCUCGGAGCCGAAGGGAAACCAAGUCUCAAAUGGGCGUCAAGUCAGUACAGGCAGACCCGAAACCGGGUGACCUAUCCAUGUCCAGGUUGAAGCGGAAGUAAAAUUCCGUGGAGGACCGGAUCCACAUCCGUUGAAAAGGGUGGGAAUGAGGUGUGGAUAGGGGAGAAAUUCCAAUCGAACCCGGAGAUAGCUGGUUCUCCUCGAAAUAGCUUUAGGGCUAGCCUCAUAUUAGUCUAGCGGAGGUAGAGCACUGAAUUCCUAAGGGGGCGUCAAAGCUUACCAAGGGAUAUCAAACUCCGAAUGCCGCGUAAAUGAUGUAUGGGAGUCAGACUGCACGAGAUAAGUUGGGCAGUCAAAAGGGAAAGAGCCCAGACCUACAGCUAAGGUCCCAAAGUGUGUGUUAAGUGGAAAAGGAUGUGGGAUUUCAAAGACAACUAGGAUGUUGGCUCAGAAGCAGCCACACAUUCAAAGAGUGCGUAAUAGCUCACUAGUCGAGAGGUCCUGCGCCGAAAAUGUCCGGGGCUGAAACACAACACCGAAGCUUAGGAAUGUCGUAAGACAUUGGUAGAGGAGCAUUCUCAGGACGGAGAAGCGGUACCGGUAAGGAGCCGUGGAGUGCUGAGAAGAGAGAAUGCCGGAAUGAGUAGCGAGAUGGAGGUGGGAAUCCUCCAGGCCGAAUAUCCAAGGUUUCCAGAGUAAAGCUGAUCUGCUCUGGGUAAGUCGGGGCCUAAGGCGAGGCUGAGAGGCGUAGUCGAUGGACAACAGGUUGAAAUUCCUGUACCAUGUAUCAUCAGAACUGUGGGGACACAGAAGGACAACACAUCCCGGGAAUGGGAAUACCGGGGCAAGCGAGGUAGGAGUACGGUUGGCAAAUCCGCCGUGCAAUCCGAAGACGUGACGCGCAGCGAACUAAAGUAGCGAAGUGUGUGAUUCCGGCUGUCAAGAAAAGCCGCUAUUGUGUGAUACAUGCCCGUACCGUAAACCGACACAGGUAGAUGAGGAGAGAAUCCUAAGGCCGGCGGGAGAAGCAUUGUUAAGGAACUCGGCAAAAUGACCCCGUAACUUCGGGAGAAGGGGUGCCACAGAGAUGUGGCCGCAGAGAAUAGGCUCAAGCAACUGUUUAGCAAAAACACAGGUCUAUGCAAAACCGUAAGGUGAGGUAUAUGGGCUGACGCCUGCCCGGUGCUGGAAGGUUAAGAGGAGAGGUUAGCGCAAGCGAAGCUUUGAAUUUAAGCCCCAGUAAACGGCGGCCGUAACUAUAACGGUCCUAAGGUAGCGAAAUUCCUUGUCGGGUAAGUUCCGACCCGCACGAAAGGCGUAAUGAUUUGAGCGCUGUCUCAACAAUGCACCCGGUGAAAUUGAAAUACCAGUGAAGAUGCUGGUUACCUGCGCCAGGACGGAAAGACCCCAUGGAGCUUUACUCCAGUUUGAUACUGGGAUUCGGUAUUGCAUGUACAGGAUAGGUGGGAGGCUUUGAAACAUGGACGCCAGUCUGUGUGGAGCCAAUGUUGGGAUACCACCCUUGCGAUAUUGGGUUUCUAACCUGCGCCCGUGACCCGGGCGGGGGACAAUGUCAGGCGGGGAGUUUGACUGGGGCGGUCGCCUCCGAAAGGGUAUCGGAGGCGCUCAAAGGUUCCCUCAGGAUGGUUGGAAACCAUCCA
rnacentral:rRNA from 1 species